rnacentral:rRNA from 1 species
UACGGAGGGUGCAAGCGUUAUCCGGAUUCACUGGGUUUAAAGGGUGCGUAGGUGGAUUUAUAAGUCAGUGGUGAAAGCCCCGAGCUCAACUUGGGAAUUGCCAUUGAUACUGUAGAUCUUGAGUUCGGUUGAGGUAGGCGGAAUGUUACAUGUAGCGGUGAAAUGCUUAGAUAUGUAACAGAACACCGAUUGCGAAGGCAGCUUCCAAAGCCGUUACUGACACUGAUGCACGAAAGCGUGGGGAUCAAACAGG